CAGGUCCACCAGCUGCUCCUCCAGCACCGGGCACCGCUGCUUUUGCUGCAAGGCGAGGAGCGGAGCGUCAAAAGGGCGUAGGACAAAGACGGCAUCUUAUCGAGGUUCAACUGUAGCUCUAUUCUGGCGUACAGCUUCCCCUCGUUCUUUCAUUUCACCGAGAUUCAAAAGUCAAUAAAAAAAAUAAAUAAAUAACGUACAGUUACCACAGCA